UGCUGUGAUAGUGUAAUUUGCGUCCUACUCUGUGGCUGGUGACGGGAUGCCUACUGUCAUAUGCCGGCACAGAUGGAUGACGAACCUUGUUGCUGAGCA
rnacentral:snoRNA from 10 species